ACACCGGACAUCCGGUGGCGUCGCGAACGCGGAAAUCAGCUAAACUACACACAGCUGGGAGCGAUUAAGGAGAGCGCCGGGUGAUUGGAGGAGAACAGCACCCAGGGAGUAUAAAAGGACAAGGCAAAACACAGUCUGGGCUGAUGUUAUCCACCGAUGUGUUGGUGUGUGUUGUAGUGCCGAGUUGAGCUCGCCUAAAUACGCUAUAUUCGGAUUAUUGUACUGCUCUCUCUCCCCGUAUGGAUUAUAGAUCGAUGGAAAGGAGGACAUCGAAGACCUUAAAGGUGAAGUACUAGUCGGACUCUGACAUUGUUUGAGGGAAACGGAAGGAGAGGAAAACUUACCACUGUGAGUACAUAUCUGUGGGAAAAGUGGUGUUUGUGGCUGGAGAACGCCCUGUCUAGCUGCCUGAGUUACUGUUGACAGGAAAACAACCUAGGACGAAGAAAGAUAGAGAUUGUGAGUAAACAAAACCUUGAAGUGAAUGUUGAUAUACAUAUCGGAUUGAUUCAUUGUUUGAGUGUUCUUAAGAGAGCGAUCGAGUGGCCCUACCCCUGGACCAGCGUGGUGGGUGAGCCGAAGGUUUCUGUGGGAAAGCAGCUACAGCAAUAACCGCAAACAAACGCUAGGCCAUCUACCAUCUCCCUAUUUCUCGCCCAGAGCGACGUGGAAGAGGACGGGUGUCUAUUGUGUGCACUGAGCGUGGUGGGAGUAGAGGCAGGAGAGAUCCGCCGGCCCGAGGUCUCGACGAAAGGGCGCCCCGGUCCAGUUUCGAUUGACCAACGGGUCUCGAGGAACGGGCAGCGUUCGACCCGGUGUGCCGGCGUGGUUCUCGCCCCUCUGUUCAUCAACGAGUUCGCCGAGAGGGUCCUGGCCCCCGGCGUCCCAGUACAAACCAUUGCUUCACCGCCGCAUUGCAGAAACUAGCCAGCGUAAGCCGCGACCCCUGUAAAUCUCUAUGUAUCUUGUUACGUCUGCUGAUUGACAGGAAAGCGAGUGAGUUGUGAGAACUGUGGAGAGAAAGAGAGAGCCAACGUGAACACAGAGAGAUUGAGCUUUGGAGAGAGCCAUACCUACCUGACAGCUGUAAUCAGCACAGAGGUGAGCGACGUCUUGAGAACGAUUCAUUGUGUCCUUGUAUCCUAGCAGCCAUCUGUGGAGAGAAAGAGAGCCAACGUGAACACUGAGAGAUUGAGCUUUGGAGAGAGCCAUACCUACCUGACAGCUGUAAUCAGCACAGAGGUGAGCGACGUCUUGAGAACGAUUCAUUGUGUCCUUGUAUCCUAGCAGCCAUCUGUGGAGAGAAAGAGAGCCAACGUGAACACUGAGAGAUUGAGCUUUGGAGAGAGCCAUACCUACCUGAAAGCUGUAAUCAGCGCAGAGCCAUCUGUGGAGAGAAAGAGAGCCAACGUGAACACUGAGAGAUUGAGCUUUGGAGAGAGCCAUACCUACCUGACAGCUGUAAUCAGCACAGAGGUGAGCGACGUCUUGAGAACGAUUCAUUGUGUCCUUGUAUCCUAGCAGCCAUCUGUGGAGAGAAAGAGAGCCAACGUGAACACUGAGAGAUUGAGCUUUGGAGAGAGCCAUACCUACCUGACAGCUGUAAUCAGCACAGAGGUGAGCGACGUCUUGAGAAUGAUUCAUUGUGUCCUUGUAUCCUAGCAGCCAUCUGUGGAGAGAAAGAGAGCCAUCGUGAACACUGAGAGAUUGAGCUUUGGAGAGAGCCAUACCUACCUGACAGCUGUAAUCAGCACAGAGGUGAGCGACGUCUUGAGAACGAUUCAUUGUGUCCUUGUAUCCUAGCAGCUAUCUGUGGAGAGAAAGAGAGAGCCAACGUGAACACUGAGAGAUUGAGCUUUGGAGAGAGCCAUACCUACCUGCCAGCUGUAAUCAGCGCAGAGGUGAGCGACGCUUUGAGAACGAUUCAUUGUGUCCCUGUAUUCUAGCAGCCACCUGUGGAGAGAAAGAGAGAACCAACGUGAGCAUCGAAAUAUUGAACUGUGGAAGGAGAAUAGGGAAGGCGAGUGAAUCAACGAGCAAGGACCUGUGGAAAGUAGGGGUGCACCGCAGUGCCCCGAGUCAAGGUACGACAACAGAGAAAGACCCAUACCAGCACUCAUCGUGUUUUUAUUCUGCCUCCAGGAAGGAAGAGGAGCGCGCCACGAGUAGAGGGAAACCGAGGCAGGAGCCCGUUCCCCCCACGUACGACCCCCCAAUUUUAGUCCUUCAUCUGGCCGUGGCCCCCUGGAGGGCAGAACUGAAAUUAGUUUUAACUUUCCCUUUCCCCAGUCCCCCCCCCUAUAUUUUAAUUAUUUAAUUCAAUAAAAAGAACAUUUUAUAUUUACUUGUGCUCGUUGUUGUCUGGUCAUUGGGUUGGUUUUGGGGACCUCCUCGAGGUGGAAGUUUAGAAGGGGCGUGGUUUUUACAACUAGUAGCCAGCCCCUG